rnacentral:rRNA from 1 species
AAUCAACGCUGGCGGCGUGCCUAACACAUGCAAGUCGAACGAGAAAGUGGAGCAAUCCAUGAGUAAAGUGGCGCACGGGUGAGUAACACGUGACUAACCUACCCUUGAGUGGGGGAUAACCUAGGGAAACCUGGGCUAAUACCGCAUAAUACCUACGGGUCAAAGGAGCAAUUCGCUUUAGGUAGGGGGUCGGCGGCAGAUUAGUUAGUUGGCGGGGUAAGUGGCCCACCAAGACGAUGAUCGUAUCCGGCCU